UGGUCACAACAUAGGGUACCUUGAAGAGUUCAAGAGGUACUGUUCUCACUGUGGAGUGGACUUCUUCUUUCAAGAGAAAGUCUAUUGAAAGGAAGAAGGCUAAAUUCAUAAAGAAGUAGAAGAGAGGAGCAAGCCAAAAAAAGAUGGUCCAAAGACAGCUAACGCAAAGGAAAAGUAUUUCCACCAUCAUGCUGAAGGCCAC
rnacentral:lncRNA from 1 species